UCAGCAUUUCACUGUGAGGUCUACUACAUCUGUUGUAUUCAGCAUUUCACUGUGAGGUCUACUACACCUGUUGUAUUCAGCAUUUCACUGUAAGGUCUACUACACCUGUUGUAUUCAGCAUUUCACUGUGAGGUCUACUACACCUGUUGUAUUCAGCAUUUCACUGUAAGGUCUACUACACCUGUUGUAUUCAGCAUUUCACUGUAAGGUCUACUACACCUGUUGUAUUCAGCAUUUCACUGUAAGGUCUACUACACCUGUUGUAUUCAGCAUUUCACUGUGAGGUCUACUACACCUGUUGUAUUCAGCAUUUCACUGUGAGGUCUACUACAUCUGUUGUAUUCAGCAUUUCACUGUGAGGUCUACUACACCUGUUGUAUUCAGCAUUUCACUGUAAGGUCUACUACACCUGUUGUAUUCAGCAUUUCACUGUGAGGUCUACUACACCUGUUGUAUUCAGCAUUUCACUGUAAGGUCUACUACACCUGUUGUAUUCAGCAUUUC